rnacentral:rRNA from 1 species
CAGCAGCCACGGUAAUACAGAGGGUGCGAGCGUUAAUCGGAUUUACUGGGCGUAAAGCGUGCGUAGGCGGCUUCUUAAGUCGGAUGUGAAAUCCCUGAGCUUAACUUAGGAAUUGCAUUCGAUACUGGGAAGCUAGAGUAUGGGAGAGGAUGGUAGAAUUCCAGGUGUAGCGGUGAAAUGCGUAGAGAUCUGGAGGAAUACCGAUGGCGAAGGCAGCCAUCUGGCCUAAUACUGACGCUGAGGUACGAAAGCAUGGGGAGCAAACAGGAUUAGAUACCCGUGUAGUCCCUGUCUCUUAUAU